GACGAACCGUGCGAACGUUAUUCGGAAUCACUGGGCUUAAAGGGUGCGUAGGCGGGCUCGCCAGUCAGGGGUGAAAUCCCACGGCCCAACCGUGGAAGUGCCUCUGAUACUGCGGGCCUCGAGGGGGAUAGGGGCGUGCGGAACUUCCGGUGGAGCGGUGAAAUGCGUAGAUAUCGGAAGGAACACCGGUGGCGAAAGCGGCGCGCUGGAUCCCUACUGACGCUGAGGCACGAAAGCCAGGGGAGCAAACGGG
rnacentral:rRNA from 1 species